rnacentral:lncRNA from 1 species
CGUCUUUUCAACUCUCCUCCUUAAGGGAACCCCCCCUUCUUGCCAUAGCUUCUUGGUAGAAUGUUCUCAUGGCUUCAGCCAUGUGAACGUGUAUCCAGAACGGACAGGAGAACCCUCAGCCCCAUGAUCUUACAGACCCCCAGUGGGCAGGCACAAACCCACAGCUUCCAUGCCUUUUUCUUCCCUUUAUUUCCUGCUUUACCUCAAUUUAUGACUUGGCUUACAAUCUGUUGCAGAAAGGCCCAGUCCCCAGCUUCCUCCAGAAUCUACAUUUUUCUAUUUUGUCUGAAAUAGCCAGGGUCUCAGGAGUUUGCUGUUAUAUUGCUUCAGAGAAAUUAGUGACAUUGAAGGGUUCUCAUCUUUUUGUGUGUGAUUUUGGUUAUAACAAGAGAUUUAUAAAGCUGUUCUUUUUUUUCCCAUCUCUGAAGCUUAGGAGAUAAUAUUAGAAGAUAUUUGAUAGAAAAAUACCCAGGGUAGGGCUUUUUUCUAUGUCAUGUGUUCAAAUAAGUCAUUGCUGCCCAAACCAGGUGCCUUUUGUAGGAGAAAUUGAGAAUUCGGUUUGGACUGAUUUUUUUUUUUUUUCACUUGACUUUGUGUAGGACAUGGCAUAGAAAAAUAAUUUCAGUAGAUGCUGGUCUAGAUUCACCAGCCACCCAUAUACUGUUACAAUGAUGAGUAGUACUUGAUAGAAAUAUUGUUUUGGAAUUAAUUAAUUCUUUAGUAAUUAGUUAAAAAAAAAAAAAGGAAAAUUAAUGCAGCUGUGGUGCUUGAGUUCCUGUGUUAAGAAUUUUAUACCAUGAAGGUAUAGUGACAGUGAAAGUCAAAGAUCUAAAUAGAAGCAAGUGUGCAUUUUAAAGCUGGGACUGUUAUGUGCUGCCGCAUUUGUUUUUCAAUCAUUGCGUAACAAAUUGCCCCAAACUGAGUAGCUCAAGACAGCAUCCAUUCCUAGGUCACAGUCCUAUAGGUCAGGAAUCUGGACACACUGUGAUGGGCUUCUCUGCGCAGGAUCUCACAGGGGCAAGUUCAAGGUGUCAGCUGGGGCUCCGUUCCUUUCUGGAGGCGCUGGAGUGGAAGCCACCUCCAGGCUCCUUCCAGUUGUCGGCAGAAUUCAGGUCCUUGCAGUUGUGAGGUUGGAGCCUCUGUCUCCCAGUCAACUGCUGGCCAUUUCCAGCUCCUAGAGGCCACCUGUAUUCUUGCCACAGGACCCCCUCCACCCCCAAAGUCAUUAACAGAGACGCUUAUGCAUUGAAUCUUUUCAUGUUUCAAGUCUCUAUGACCGUCUUUGACUUUGACGUCUGUACCCAUAUUUAAAGGGCUCAUACGUUUAGACUGGUCUCCUUAUGUUAAGGCCAACUGAUUUGGGGGCUUAAUUAACUUUCUUCACAGACAUGCCCAGCUGAGUGAUUAACUGGGAAAGGCCAGGUGUACUCUGGGGGCAGGAAUCUUGGGAGCCAACUUAAUAUUCUGGCGACCAAAGCCACACUUUAAAAAAAACAAUAGCCGGAGUUCUUUCUGUGGUGCAGUGGGAUCAGGCACAGUGGGUUAAGGAUCCUUCAUUGCCACAGCUGCAGUGCAGGUUGCAACUGCGGCUUGAAUCUUAUCUCUGGCCCCAGAACUCCAUAUCCCACAGGGUGGCCAGAAAAGGGAAAGAAAAAACAAAACAGCAAACAAAGCCUAGACCUUUUUAGAGAUGUUUUCUGAGGCAGAAAGUUGAGUGUUAAAGACCAGGGGUAUCUAAAACCCACAGAAAGGAAGCCUAGGUAGAGCCUCCAGGAUAGAGUCAGAGAUCGGCUCUUGGGCACACAUGCCCUCCUUCCCCUGGGCCCCCGGUGUGGUAGGAUGGGGGUGGGGGGAAGGGGAUUGUCUGCAGCUUCAUGUUUCAGCAGGUGCAGCCGAGUCAAAAAAAAUUUGGUCUCUGUAAUGAACUGGCUCAGCUCCUCUUUCUGUGCUCGAGGGUCCGCACCCAGAAUGGGUUAAUAUUCGGGAUUCCCGUGACGGUGAAGCAGUGGUCCAUGGAAGUUCAGCUGUUAGACCUGUUCAGGUGCACCGUAGGCCUCCAGCCAGCAUCCCUCCCCCAUUCUUCUCUCUGGACGCAGUUGUCAAGUUAGAUUACUUGGUGAACCCUGGCUUUGGUCCUUGUGUCCUGGGAAUGAGAAGCUUCUCACCCUGUCCCAUCGAGGGUACCUAACAGGCAGAGGGAAGGAAGAGGGGCUUCCAGGAACCUGGGGGUGUGGCCUGGAGUCCCCACCCCACCCGUGAAAUUCUUCUGAAAUCUCUCUUCAUCUCAAAUCCCCCCACCCACCGCCCCAUACACGCAUUCCGCUCCCGAUUGAGCCAUGUGGUGUUAACCUAAGAACCAGGGCUCUGGUGAUGUACCGGCUCCGUUCACACCCCAGGGAUGCAUGUGUUUGCUUUCUGUUUCUGGUUCUCAGGCAUCAGGGCCAGGACGAGGCAAGCCAGACCCUCAGGGCUUCCACCGGAGGAGACACCCUCCGUCUGUCCAGCUUCUGGGCAAGCUUCCCACAGCUCCGUCACUGCAGACCCUUUGCCCUGAGUGUCGCCCCCCCGCCCCACCCUGGUCAUUUCUGCACACUGCAGUUGGAGCAGAGCUGUCAGGUGGCCAUACCACGUCCAACCUGCCUGCCUUUAGGCCAGUGUGCCCACUGAGCGGGCGAUGGUCCACUGAAGGGCUUGUGAGCCUGCAGGCCACGAGUCACCGUCCCUGCCACCAGGCAGACCACGUGGACGGGGGUGAUGCGCUCUCAGGUGUGGGAUCAGAAAAGCACGAGUGUGUCCCGCGCGGAGUCAUCGCAUCAUGCGGUUUAGUGACCGGGGAGAGAUGUCCGCUAAGGAGCUGGGCCACAACCAGUUAAUUCCAUCAGGGCGUCUUGAGCAAACUCCGCUCAGCAGCCCCACUGCUCUCCCUGCCGUGUGCCGCGCAGCUUCCUCUGAAAAGCAGUACAGAUGUUCUUUUUCCCCCUUCUUUCAUCCCUCCCCCCAUCUUUCUUUCUUUGCACCCACGGCGCUCUGCACUUCAAGCUAAAUAUAAUGUAUCUGAUUUCCCAUCAUACAUACUAAUCAGGUUUGAAAGUUGUCUUGUGAGGCUUUAAAAAGCUAGCCAAGAGCAGUGCGAUUUCUCCGAAAGGAUGUCUGCAAUCAAGAUGAUUACAUGGGAAAAUAAAUCAUAAUGUAUAUUGCCGAAAAUGUCAUUUGCAAAAACACUCUGACAAUACUUUCCUUUCAGUCUAUUUUCCUGUGAAUGGGGUAAGUGCUGCCCUUCCGAAACUUUCCUUUUAUUUUCUUUAUUUAUUUAUUUAUUUUUAAUGCUCCAAAGAUGAGUGAAGCAAUCGCAGCUUUCGGGCGACACGGGGUGGUGCGGGAACACAGCCGACAAGCAUUAAAGCCCAAAAAAUGACAGAUCCCAGUGUAGAGGGGAGAGGUCAGAGGUGACUCUGUGUUUAGGAUACCGGUGUGCGCAUGUGUGAACGUAUACGCAUGUGUGUGUGCGCACAUGUCCACACAAGCACUUUUUUUGUUUUCAUCGAAGGAAAACGUACAGCCUUAGAGAAGCCAAAAACCUUUCAGGGAGCCAUUUCUCUUCUGCCCACCUGCCUUGGGGUUCAACGACAGUACAGUUACCCAAGAGAAUUGAUUAGUUACCUGAUUCAAAUAAUAUCCCCUGGAAUUGGGAACUAUCUCUGAGUGCGUCCUGGCCGACAGAUAGUAAGGUCUCAGCUGCCGACAGUUAGUACCUGUGGUGGGUGAUAAAAAACAGCCACAGUUCUCUCCCCGCCCCCCAGCCCUGAGUCGCAUCUGUGCCCUGCCCCUGUGAUGACUUCAUCUCCCUUCAAAGGCGGAGCCAGCUUCUUCACCCCCUGAAUCAGCAGGCUCCAUGGAACCUGGCCCAGCCCUGGGGCUCUCGUAAGCAUGAAGCAAGCAGAGGCUUGGGCAGUCCUUCUGCACCGGUGCGUGCUUUCUUGCUGCUCUCAGAAGCCUGCCACUUCAGGGAGAACGCAAGCACAGGCUCGCCUGCUGGGUGGCGAGAGACCCAGAGUCCGCCAAGCCCUGGGGCAGCAUCACCUGGCUGACAGUGGACACCUGUCCCGUGGAGUGCAGCCUGCAUUGCUGACUCAGCAGAUCCAGGGCUGAAGCUCAGUAGCUGUUGCUUUCAGGCACCCCUUUGGGUGUAUGCUUUGUUUGCACAGUACAUCUAAACAGGGACGCUACCUCUGAGCCUAACUCUUCACAAGCCUUUGUCAAGCUAGAGGAGCAGUAGUUUGUCCUCUUCCUCUGGUGUCAGGGGUGGGUGAGUGAAUACCUGCUGAUGCCCCGGCAUGAGUGCUUUCUGUCUCAGGAAGCAUGGGCAGUCCAUGGAGGAAGUUCCAUGCUCGGCGGACAGUGAGGGAAUUGAGAAUCAUUGUAACUCUUGUCCAUCCCUCACAAGGGUGAGAUAAUCAAUCAGGUGCAAGGGGAGGCAUCGGAGAGGGUGUUAACACAGAGAAGGCUCAAGGGAGGCCUUCCUCUGAGUCCCUGUGACACAAUAAAGGUAUCCUUAUCCCAAGGAUCUAGUUUCUUUUAAAUCUCAGAUACAUAUUGUGUAGUGCUUCCUUUUUUUGCCCUGGCCACCAGGGAGCUUGAAGCCAAAUUUGUAGCCUACAUCUCAUCUUCAGCAAAGUCAUAGGACCUCUCUGGAAACUAACUUCUCCUGACUUCAUCUUAGUAUUCGGCUUCCUCUCACCUGAUUUCUUCCUGUUUUCCUUGUUUCUCUUUAUGCUCACUUCUCCUUCCUUUUUCACCUUUUCCUUAUUUCAUAUGUUAGUAUGUAUUCAUGCAUAACAUCUCAAGUCUCCCUUCCUUCUUAACAAGGCAGGUAGAGAGAAGAACGAAACAAAACCCCAACACUGGACACACCGUAAAAGUGUCCAAGCUCUAGAGUGGAGAGGAGAGUACAGGCUUGCCAUUCUUCGGCAGCCGCACAGCAGUGGAGACAUCAGAGCCUCCGGAGUCAGUGGUUCUGGGUUUGAAUUCUGACCCUAUCACUGUAUUAGUUUCCUCUUGCUGCUGUAACACAAGACCACCAACUUAGUGGCUUAAGACAAUACAUGUUUACUGUCUUAUAAUUCCAGUGGCCACAAGGGCAGAACUACCGGGCCCAGGUGUCACCAGGGCUGAUUCCUUCUGGGGGCUCCAGAGGAGAAUCCAUUUCUCUGUUCUUGGUGGCUCCUAGAGGCCACCUACUCUCCUUGGCUCCUGGGGCCUCCUCCAUCUUCCAAGCCAGCAGGGUCACAUCAUCUUGCCUCCGUCACUGACUCUUUUCCCGGUUGAACACUCCAGCCUCGUUCUUACAAGGACCUUUGUGAUGACACUGGGCCCUCCUGGAUAGUCCAGGGCAGGCUCCCAUCUCAACACCCUUCACUCAGUCACAUCUGCCCAGUCCCUCUGGCCAGGUGAGGUGACAUACUCACAGAGUCUGGGGCUUGCCAUCAACCUCUUUUGCGGGGGGGAUUAUUAGUCCCACCACAGCCACUCGUCCUGGGCCUCCGUUUCCCUCGUCGGUCCUAGGGAUGGUGAGGUCGUAGGGAUGAUGAGGUCCUAUGAGCUCCUUGGGGAAGUAGGCACACCUCAGGGUGUCACAGAGAGAUGGCAGUCUCCCUACAGCGCUGUCGCGGGACCCCUCCUUCAGGACCAAACUGUAGGUGAGACACUCGCAUUUCCCAGCCACCCAGCUUUCCUGGAACAUGCAUUUUGAAACAGGCUGUUGUCUUGUUCUCCUCGGGCUUCGGUGACAAGGUGCCACAGGGCGGGGCUUAGCCAUCAGCUGGUGGUGCUUUCUUACUGCCGGGAGGCGGGGCCGUGCAGGAUCAGGCUGCUGGCAGACUCUCUCCCUGGUGCGAGGCCGCCUCCGUGUUCUGCCCUCUGGUGGGGAGGGUUCUGGCCUCUUCUCCUUAGGGCUUGGGUCCCCUCAGUGGCCCCAGCCGCGCGCCCCCCCGCAACCCCCUGUGAACCUAGUUACCUCCCAGAGGCCCCUCCACGGCUCUCCCCACGUGGGGAGAACGUGUCAGACCUGGGAGAGCCGUGUGGCUUUGUCAGCUCUGUGCUGACCAGCAGCCUUGUCUGGGGCUGUGACAUCUCCUCCCCAGGCUUCUGUGACCUUGCCUGUAACAUGUGGGGCCAAAGAACAGCCCAGCACAGGACAGUCUGAGGACCAGGGGAAGCUGCCUGUGCCAAGGCGCCCGUCACAAGGCAGCUGCGAGUGGUGGGCGCCCAAGGCCUCCGCCUCCCAACUCGGGCCCCUUCCCUCCAGUGGGCAGUGCCUCUUGGCAUGCGGGUGCCGCGGCUGAUAGUGCACUUGGCUAACCGGGGAUGUUCAUAGCACUCGAGUGGGUUUUUCUUCCUGCUCCUAGAAUUCCAGCCGUAAAGGUAGAGCUGGACAAGUGAGUACCAGUGACAGAUGAGGAAUGUGCCAGUGGCACCUGUGGCAUAUGGGAGUUCUUGGGGGCUUGGGUUGAAUCGGAGCUGAAGCUGCUGGCCUACACCACAGCCACAGCAACACCAGAUCCUUAACCCACUGAGCAAGGCCAGGGAUCGAACCCACAUCUCAGACAGUAUGUCUGGUUCUUAACCUGAUGGGUCACAACGGGAACUCCCCAGUGGCUUUUUUAUGCUGUAAUCUGUUCCUCAUCUUAGGGGGGCACAAUUGUCUUCAGUUUUGGUUGAGCAAACGGAAGAUCAGAGGGGGUUUGUCUCUGAACAGCAGAGGUAGGAUCAGCACUGGUGACAGUCAGAUUGGCUUUGAAAAUCAUAGCACCUACCAGAGUUACCAGGAGAGCUCCUGUGUACUAUGGGCCUUCAGGCUCUGGGCUGAGUUUACUUUCAUUGCCUGUUUCUCCCACCUGAGAGGUAGUAAGCUCAGAGCUCCAGUUUCAGAUUAGGAAACUGAGGCUCAGGGAGGCCCUGGGACCAUCGCAAGCCCGACCUCCAUGAGGCAGCAGCGAGAUUUGAGGCCACCGUCUCCUGACUCCUUUGCAGAGGAUGUGCCAGCACCCAGAACCUCUUCUGUGCCCACAGCCAAGAGGUGGGGUUUGUUCUGCGCUCCAUGUCCCCAGGCACAGCCCUGCUCCCCACCACCCUGACUGAUGUAUAUUUAAACGGUGGCCUUUGCUGCAAAAGUGGGGUGAGGGAGAACCAACCAGGGCUCCCUGCAGACCGAGGAACCUUCCAGGCAGCCAAGGCCUUCUCUGUGGCUGAGUCAGGGAAGGAGCAGCUAAAGGCUUGGCGGAGCCUCCCUCCUGCAGGGGGGAUUGUCAGGGGCCCGUUACCAGGCUGAGUGACAGAGCGAGGCCGCCCGAGGCUCAUCCCGUGUCUAAUGGGACAGAAAGGAGCUCCCACCGCCCUUGUUUUCCAGCGGCUUGUCCCGGGCCCUGCGAGGUUUACUCAUCUUGGAGUUUAAUGGCAUCUUAAUCCCGGCACCGAUCACUGCGCGGCGGAUUGAAGGCGGCAGGAGCCUCUGUCUCAUUUACAAGCCGCACUCGGGAGAGACACUUAGGGUGCGAGCCUGCCCACGCAGAAUUGGCAAGCGUGUCUCCAUGCUUGGGCCCUGAUGGUGCUGAGAAACGCCACUUUAACCCUUAAAAUCUGUCCUUUGGAAACCUCUUCUGAAGAACGUUGUGGAUGAUAACUGCUUGGAGCAGGGCUGUCGUUUUAGAAAAUGUAUGAGAUACAGGAUGACGAUGAGGAAGAGAA